rnacentral:lncRNA from 1 species
AAAAAAAAAUCUGGCCACCAAGGUAGCCCGCAAGAGUGCUCCAGCACCAGAAGCAUAAAUAAGCCCUAGCAGCUACUAGCUUGGCACAGUGGCCCUGCGUAAGAUCCGCUGCUACCAGAAAUCAACUGAGCUGCUGAUCCGCAAGCUGCCAUUCCAUGAUCUGGUGCACAAGAUCGCACAGAACUUCAAGACCAACCUGCACUUCCAAAGCUCAGCAGCUGCAGGAAGUGUGAGAGGCCUACCUGGUGGGGCUCUUUGAGAACAUCAAUCUGUGCGCCAUCCACUCUGAGUGACUAUCAUGCUCAAGAACAUCGAGCUUACAUGCCACAUUCGUAGACAGAAAGCAUA